CACUGCCUACAGAGUUUUACUGAGUACUAUACAACAGAACAGCAGCACCGUCAUCUUCAGCUCUUUCUAGCAUUAUUAUGAAAAGUUCAACGUUGAUUAUGAUGUUUAUGUUGUUAUAGACUACAUUUAUGCAAAAUUAAAUUGCAGCCAUAACAAAAUUGGGAACUGUUGCCAAUUGAAAUCGUGCAGAAUAGAAAUGACAAUAUUUGACAUGUUGAUAUUCUUCUGUCUGAGCUUGUGGAGUGGUGUGUUUGGUGAUGAUGCAGUGAAGUCAGAGUCAGUGAUGGAGGGAGAAUCAGUCACGCUAAACCCUGAUGUUAAUACAAUUAAUGAGAUACAGUUGAGCUUUAUACACAACACCAACACAAUUAUCAUAGCUCGAAUCAACAGACAAACUGAAAAGAAAACAGUUUAUGAGGAUGCUGUUGCUGGGAGAUUCAGAGACAGACUGAAGAUGGAUCAGACUGGAUCUCUGAUCAUCAGAGACACCAGAACCACAGACUUUGGACAUUAUACAGUAACCAGCACCAACACAAAGAAACCACUCAACACAUUCAAUCUCACUGUCUACGGUGAGUAGAAUACUUACACUGUUUUAUAUAGGCCUACAUCUUUUGACAAUUAACUGUCAUAAUUAUUGAGAAUAUUAUGGACAACUAUGUGAUUAUACAGAUUUAUUUGUGCUUUGUAAGCCUAUUCUUGUAAUCAACAUCUUAUACCCUUUGUUUCUCUUCUACUUUAGUUCCGUUUUAAAUCUCUAUUAACUGAUAAAUAUCACAGCACUUUAUACUGAAUUAGAUUUAUACUGCCAUGGUUUCCAGCUGGUCUGUCUGUUCCUGUCAUCAGCCACUCUUCACAAAAUUCAUCUUCAUCACAGCAGAAUUGUUCAUUGUUGUGUUCAGUGGUGAAUGUGAGUGAUGUGACUCUCUCCUGGUACAAAGGAAACAGUUUAUUGUCCAGCAUCAGUGUGUCUGAUCUCAGCAUCAGUCUCUCUCUUCCUCUGGAGAUUGAGUGUCUGGAUGAUUCCUACAGCUGUGUGAUCAACAAUCCCAUCAGAAACCAGACUCAACAUCUCAGCACUGAACUGUGUCACACAUGUGCAGGUUAUCAUAUCCACUGUUGUGGUUUUACUGAAACUGUGAUCCGAUUGGCUCUCUCUGCUCUGGUGGGCAUAGCUGCUGUUGCUGUGCUGGUUUAUGACAUCAGAUCCAGAUUUCUUCAACAGAAGAGGAAUGAGC